rnacentral:lncRNA from 1 species
CUAACCCAUGGGCCUGUGGCUGCCUCUGCUAAUGGCUUCCUUUACGAACCUUGCCAGGAAGCCCCAGGGCUUCCAAAAGGCUCAAAUGUGUCUGUGACACAUUAUCUGGAGAGGCCAUGGAGAUGCCAAAUUGAAUAAAGAUUUGUGCAUUUUUACAGGGGAGAGUCUAAGGGAAGAGCUUCAUUCCACUAUGAUGCUGACAUCACUAAUCUGUGACUUUUUGAAACAUGUACUUUUUAAAAGGAAUGACAAGCCGCAUCAGACCCAGCAAGAGGAGAGCUGACGACCUAGAUCCGCCCUGCUGGGCCCCAGCGCCCAUCUUCAACCUGUCCCCACCGCACGGACAGCUGACAGCAGUGUCAUCCCUGAAUGUAGUUUUUUCCUCUCCCUCUACCAUGAUUUAUUACUGACACCAACAAAUGACUAAUACAGAGCUUUUUAUGAACUGUAAAGUGGUUUUGGAAGCAGUUUGUAUGAAAGGCACUUUACAAAAGCAAGCCCUAAGUACUGCGUGAAGGUGGAGAGGAGAUGCUGAGAUGUUUGGGGACAGCCAGGCAACCACAGCACGAAGCCUCGGAUGCCUCACCUGAGCUCCUGUUUCUUGUCCAGCUGUAAUUUUGCAGGUCCUUCUAGUUGUGGCAUAUGUGACACCGCCUCAACGUGGCCUGAUGAGCGGUGCCAUGUCUGCGCCCAGGAUCUGAACCAGUGAAACCCUGGGCAGCCGCAGCAGAGUGCACGAACUUA